AAAAAGCGGAGGAAAAGAAACUAACAAGGAUUCCCCUAGUAACGGCGAGUGAAGCGGGAAGAGCUCAAAUUUGAAAUCUUAAAGGGUUUCCCUUUACGAAUUGUAGUUUAAAGAAGUGUUUUCUGUUGAGGUUUUGGUAAAAGUUCUUUGGAAUAGGACAUCAUAGAGGGUGAGAAUCCCGUAUUUGACCUUUACUUUCAACUUUGUGAUACACUUUCAAAGAGUCGGAUUGUUUGGGAAUGCAGUCCAAAAUGGGUGGUAAAUUUCAUCUAAAGCUAAAUAUUGGCGAGAGACCGAUAGCGAACAAGUACCGUGAGGGAAAGAUGAAAAGAACUUUGAAAAGAGAGUUAAACAGUACGUGAAAUUGUCAAAAGGGAAGCGUUUGACACCAGUGUUGUUUUUCUGAAAAUCAAUUAAAGAACUGUUUAUGCUAAGUUGUUUAGACUUUAUCAGCUAUCUGUUUAGUUUUGAGCUUUUCUUUAAUGCACUUUUCAGUUAACAAGUCAACAUCAAUUUCUUUUGCUGUAAAAAAGCUUGAGGAAGGUGGCUUGAGAUUCGUCUUAAGUGUUUAUAGCCUCUUGCCUAUGCAGUCGGAGAGAUUGAGGUCUGCAGCGUAGAUCCUUCGGGGCUAAAUGCAUUUGUGCUAAGUUAUAGCAUUUUAUAGACAACUUGUUGACUAUGAUUUGUCUUGUAGCUUACUCGCUUAUGUUAUUUUACCUACGCUUAGGAUGUGACAAAAUCCAAGACGUU
rnacentral:rRNA from 1 species